CGACUUUCUUCUCAACAAAAUACAGUAAAUUAUUUUAAAAAGAAAAAUAUGACUACAGCUCAAUACAUCUGUGACGGUGUGUGCACUGCAGUGCUCAGCGGUGUGUCUGAGAUCUGCGAGAUGCUCGUGAACGUCUUCGCAUGUGGAGGAGAAAUACAUGAUCAGGAUGUAGCAGCAGAUCAUUCCGCAGAGUCAGGAGAAGAAGUUGUGAGACUUUCAGUGGAGGAAACUGGACCGGCCGGGACCCAACACUCAGUGCGUCCUUUCUUCUCCACAGAUCCAUGAGACACCUCCUCCGUCAUGACAUGGAUCCCAACCUUGAGGUCACUCCAGUGCCAGUCUUCCACGUGUCCUGCUGUGGUCAUUUCACCAACUUUUGGUGUUAUCAAUUUGGUGUUAUCAUGGCAUGCUUAAUUUUAGCGGAGACGUUAGCCACAGCUUUAUACUCGCUCGCUUCGGUUUUUUACUUGUUGCUCUGUAAUCAUAUUUCUUGCCGUGACUAAUUUAAAAAAAAAUGGCUGAACAGAUCUGUGUUGCUGAUACUCUAUAACGUGUCUUUUUAAUACAUCAAAGAGAAGUAGGGGUUGGCUGCUAUUUUUCUUGGGGAUUGUUUUAAAUAGAUAUAGUGCAUAUACACUCGAAUCAAUAUUACAUUUGAAAUACAAUGUGUAUAAUAGUGUAUUAUAAUAUAUAAUAACAUAAUAGUUUUAUAUUGUUUAACAUUCUAAAUAAUUUUGUACUUACAUAGACAUAUGUUUUGUUUAUUAUUUAUAAUAUUGGAAUAAUGAUUUGGUUAAUUAUUUGUAUACAAUAAUC
ensembl:lncRNA